GACGAACGCUGGCGGCGUGCUUAACACAUGCAAGUCGAACGAAGAGCGAUGGAAGCUUGCUUCUAUCAAUCUUAGUGGCGAACGGGUGAGUAACGCGUAAUCAACCUGCCCUUCAGAGGGGGACAACAGUUGGAAACGACUGCUAAUACCGCAUACGAUCUAAUCUCGGCAUCGAGGAUAGAUGAAAGGUGGCCUCUACAUGUAAGCUAUCACUGAAGGUGGGGAUUGCGUCUGAUUAGCUAGUUGGGGGGGUAACGGCCCACCAAGGCGAUGAUCAGUAGACGGUCUGAGAGGAUGAACGGCCACAUUGGGACUGAGACACGGCCCAGACUCCUACGGGAGGCAGCAGUGGGGAAUCUUCCGCAAUGGACGAAAGUCUGACGGAGCAACGCCGCGUGAGUGAUGACGGCCGUCGGGUUGUAAAGCUCUGUUAAUCGGGACGAAAGGCCUUCUUGCGAAUAGUGAGAAGGAUUGACGGUACCGGAAUAGAAAGCCACGGCUAACUACAUG
rnacentral:rRNA from 1 species